rnacentral:rRNA from 1 species
AUUGAACGCUGGCGGUAGGCCUAACACAUGCAAGUCGAACGGCAGCACGGUAAUAGCUUGCUCUUACGGGUGGCGAGUGGCGGACGGUUGAUGAAUACAUCGGAAUCUACUUUUUCUUGGGGGAUAACGUAGGGAAACUUACGCUAAUACCGCAUACGACCUACGGGUGAAAGCAUGGGAUCUUCGGACCUUGCGCGAUUGAAUGAGCCGAUGUCGGAUUAGCUAGUUGGCGGGGUAAAGGCCCACCAAGGCGACGAUCCGUAGCUGGUCUGAGAGGAUGAUCAGCCACACUGGAACUGAGACACGGUCCAGACUCCUACGGGAGGCAGCAGUGGGGAAUAUUGGACAAUGGGCGAAAGCCUGAUCCAGCCAUACCGCGUGGGUGAAGAAGGCCUUCGGAUUGUAAAGCCCUUUUGUUGGGAAAGAAAAGCAGCAGGUUAAUACCCCGCUGUUCUGACGGUACCCAAAGAAUAAGCACCGGCUAACUUCGUG